rnacentral:rRNA from 1 species
UACGUAGGGUGCAAGCGUUGUCCGGAAUUAUUGGGCGUAAAGAGCUCGUAGGCGGUCUGUCGCGUCUGCUGUGAAAACUCGGGGCUUAACCCCGGGCCUGCAGUGGGUACGGGCAGACUAGAGUGCGGUAGGGGAGACUGGAAUUCCUGGUGUAGCGGUGAAAUGCGUAGAUAUCUGGAGGAACACCAGUGGCGAAAGCGCGUGACUGGGCCAUAACUGACGCUGAGGAACGAAAGCCAGGGUAGCGAAAGGG